rnacentral:rRNA from 1 species
UACGUAGGGUGCAAGCGUUAAUCGGAAUUACUGGGCGUAAAGCGUGCGCAGGCGGUUGUGCAAGACAGAUGUGAAAUCCCCGGGCUCAACCUGGGAACUGCAUUUGUGACUGCACGGCUAGAGUGUGUCAGAGGGGGGUAGAAUUCCACGUGUAGCAGUGAAAUGCGUAGAUAUGUGGAGGAAUACCGAUGGCGAAGGCAGCCCCCUGGGAUGACACUGACGCUCAUGCACGAAAGCGUGGGGAGCAAACAGG